UAAGUAGGUAGUGAAAUCCUGGGGCUCAACCCUUUAAACAUUAUCUAAACUGCAAAGCUAGAAUAUAGAAGAGGUAGCUGGAAUUCCUUGUGUAGGAGUGAGAUCCGUAGAUAUAAGGAGGAACACCGAUGGCGUAGGCAGGCUACUGGUCUAUUAUUGACGCUAAGGCACGAAAGCGUGGGGAGCAAACGGGAUUAGAUACCCCGGUAGUCCACGCCGUAAACUAUGGAUGCUA
rnacentral:rRNA from 1 species